rnacentral:rRNA from 1 species
AAACUUCCAACAACAGUAUCUCUUGGUUCUGGCAUCGAUCAAGAACGCAACGAAAUGCGAUAAGUAAUGUGAAUUGCAAAAUUCAGUGAAUCAUCGAAUCUUUGAACGCACAUUGCGCCCGCCAAUAUUCUGGCGGGCAUGCCUGUCCGAGCGUCAUUU